UACUCAUGUUGAAAUGAAUAGAAUGCAGAUGAUUAACUCAGAAAUAGGCAGCUCAUCUGAUGAAGAGGAAGAAUAACCAUCAGCCAAGAGGACCUGUCCUACUAAACCUUCUGCUUCUCCUCUAAGGCUUAAAGACUUUUGUGUCUCUCUCAUCAAGCUUGUCCGGGGUCUUCAGACUCAAGCCUUUGUGCCAGAGAUACCUGCCUCCUUUGCUCAUAUUCACACAAAUCCACAGGUACCGUGUUUAAUGAUUUAGAAGAGUUUUUCUGUUUUUAACGAGGAUCCAAUCAGGAGAAGAUUAGCAGCAGCAGCAGUUUUAGAAUUAAUCAUUUUGUUUUUGUGUUUAAAACUCAAGUUAUUAACUACUUCAAAAUAGAUCUUCAAGAUGGAGUGGACCAAUUGUAAUCAAAAUUCUGGUGCACAGCCCCGAACAUUGCUGCCUCUCCUUGGCAUAUUUCUAAAUAGUUAUACAUUGCUUUCUCAAUCUGUGUGCAUCAUUAGUAGAGGCAGAGAAGCAGCUUAGCUCCUUGUCCCUUUCCUCUGUUGGCUUCUACACUCAAGGGCUUCUUUUCACCCCUCCAGACCCAUUUUCCACCCAUCCAUGGCCAACCAGGGAGGCUGGCCCAUAAGGAUGUCAUCAACAUACUGUAAUGCCUUCUGGCUCUAGUUGGGUUUGGCUAAUGGAAGCCAUCAGCAGGAGAUGGAGAUGGUGGGUGUGGAGGAGGUGGAGGUGUGUAUUCCAGAGGCUAGCUUCCUUCCAGCUCAAGAGGGAAUGCUGUGUCCCACUUCCCAUGAGUGGCCUUUUCCCUGCAGCUAUGCUCUGCCCAAUUUAUGGAAGCAGUCCUGCUCAAUCAAAAAUGUCUCAAAACUGGGAGUUCUCCAGAGUAUGAUGGCCUCCAAAAGGGAGACAAAGGCAAGUCUUGACUCUAGACUAUGGAGUUAGAGGUUAAAACAAGGGUGCUUCUAGCAAUGUCUUUGGGGCCCACAGGAUAGUUUUUAGUCUGUAAAAUGAGGGGGAUAGGCCACCUUUACAAAAUACUCUCUCAUAGGUGGGGGAGAUAGUCCUAUUUGUUCCUACGUGCUGCCCUGACAUGCUGGGAUUCAUGCAUGCAGCCUGCAGCCCAGGAACUCUAGCUGUCUCACUUCUGCAAAGGGUCAGGUAAGGGAGAUAGAUGCCUGGGUCCAGGGAGAUGGGAGUAUUAUGCCACUGUGGUCACAGUUGAAGUUCCUUCCCUUGCCUGAAGGGGUCAGCAAAGACCCAGGAAGGGUGGAGACAUCUUGACUCCCAGGAGAGAAACAAUUGCUAAUAGGCCAUCAGGCCCAGGGGACCUUCCCUACGUAGUUGCUGCGUGAUUUCUCGGCUUGCACGUUGUCAUCAACAGAUCCUCCCACAGGGCUCCCCUAAGUGUCUAGAGAUGUUGGGGCAGGCUCUGGGUGUUGGAGAAUGGGAGUCUAUGUGGGAUACAGGAAAGGGAGUGGGCCCAAGGGCCCCCACUUCAGGGAAGGCACAAGGGUGUAGAAUCUCCCAAGCUCUGCCCUCUUGGAUGCUUCCCCUGGGAUGUCUGUGCCCUAGCCAGAGUCUGUAAUCAAGUCAUCAAAGCUAAUAGGAUGAUGUCCACAUAAAAUGAAAUUGUGGAUGAAGAAUGGGGAUGCAGGAAACAGACUAAUGGUUCUAAUGCUUUUUCCUCAACCUUUCACUUCUCAAUAAAGUACAGUCAUCUGA